GCCAGGCAAGUCUUAACGAGAGUGCGCCAGGCACCGAGCGAGCUAAAGUUGUUGGGACCCACUUCCCUCCUCGGAUUCUCCUUCGAGGACAGGCAUCGGUUCGGCCAGAACAUGUUCUUCCCCACGAGCUCAACAAUGGAGUCCCUCUUCGAAGAUCCGGUUUUCACGGAACUGUUGACCAACUCUAAUGGCUGCAAGAGAGGAGCAGGAAGCUGCAAGAGAGGAGCAGAGCAAUGGGAAGGAGCCGGACCAUCCCAUUUCAAUCGACGGUACAGAACCAGCUGUGGGAUUUGUUUCGAACAGUCGGCUGUUCUUAACUGGUACCCAUUCAUUCUCUAAUCACACUUCAGCCACCAGAUCGGGAAUCAAAUUGGUGUCGGAAUGACAUUCCAGGAUAUAGUAAUGAGGGUUAGCAAAGGUGCUGAACUAUGCAGCUGAUGACUUGAAGGGAAAACUGUUACUGGCCAUGUAGAACAAGAUCUGACCUCCAACGAUUCAGGAGUUCAUCUGGAUGUAGCAAGUUGCCCUGCAGAACAUAACUCACCUGUGCAAGCUGCAUCUUUCUCCUUUUCUGCAGGAGAUAGUGGUAGAAACUCCACAAGACUUUCAACAGGAGAGGGGUCUGGCAACCAGGAUGAAUCAGUGCCGUUUGCCUUACAAAUUGAACAGCAAGGGAAGGAUUCUACCAACCUGACCAGUUCAUAAAUUGAAGUUCAACCGUGGCCUAAGGGCCAAGAGAUGAUGAAUCAGUGUGUUACUCGAGGGUAGGAGAAUGAAGGCUCCCACCACCCAAAACCAGUCAGAUGUAUGUAUGGUUUAGUGUUCUCUAGCUCCACAACAAAACCAGUCAGAUGUUCAGGAGUUCUUUGUUCAGAGGCCAGCCAAAAACAUUUGAUAUUGAAGAAGGUCAUAGCAAUGGACUGAAUGGUGCAGAGCUAACUCUACCAACUUCUCAGCAUGGCUGGGAAUGUGGGCAACAUACCAGACUUGCUGAUUGACCUCUUGAAUAGCUGAAGAGAGUAGUUUCAUGUUGCCAAAGCUAAUUAACACGUUUUGCUGAUUGCCUGGCAUAGUAGCACACCAUACCUGAACUCUUAAUGGAUUUGUGCUUUUGGUGGAUUGUCAGUAACAUUGUUAUAUCCUUCUGAUGUGAGCACCAUCUUAAUUUGGUCAUGUCUAUUUUUAAACAUUGAA